CUGCACCUAAGGAAAAACAUCUUAGGAGACAUCACCAUUAGAAUAGGAUUAGGUAAUAAGAUUCUGGACUUAGAACCUGAACUUUGUGCUGUAAUUUGAUGAAAUUUUGUGAGGGUUUGGAUGUAUUUUGCACAUGAAAUAGAUGUAAAAUCUUUUAGCCACAGAACAAAGUUUUGCAGAUUACUUGCAGUGAUUGCACAAAAAUCUCUCAGAUCCCUUAUGUCUCUUUAGAAUGCAACUUUGCACCCUUUUCCAUCAAGAGGUAGAGUCUAAUUCCCUUCUUCUUGAAUCUGAGAUUACCUUGUAACUUGCUUUCAACAACCAAAGGUGACAACAGUAAAUUAGCAUGACUUUAGAGUAUAGGCCUGAAGAGGAAUAAUGGCUUUUGCUUCCAUCUGUGCAACCUGAGACUUGUUUUCUAUUUGUGUCUAGGCUGCAGGAAACUGAGUGGCCCAGUAGAAAAGAACUGAGAUUCUCCAACUUGCAGCCAGCACAACUGCCAAAUAUAUGAGUAAUUUUGGAUCUUACUGUUUAAACCGCCACAUUCCAACUAAAAUGGAGCUACAAGAGUGACCUUAGACAAAACCAAUCCACAGAGUCAAGAGAUAAUAAUAAUGUCAUUAAUGUGUAUGCUACUAAACUGUGGAUGGUUAUAUAGCAAGAGACAACUGAAAUAUUCAUCAUAUUGUCCCCACUCCUGUUAUAAAAUCUUUAUUCGGUCUCCACUGCAAUUGAAUCAAAUUAAAUUCUUCCUCAUACCGAAAACACACAUGCUUUAUAAUUUAUCACAUGUUGCUGCAUCUUCCUUACUCCAUCCAUUAUUACCAAAGUCGUCCAACUCACUUGAGAUCACAGGUGACUCUACUGUGAGUUCCUUUUUGAGUUUUUCAGAUGGAGGUAGUUUAAAUCACUAGAGCCUGGAUAACUCAAUGUUGGGAAUAAUUAGAUAAUGAGGAAGACUUAGUUUCCCAUAUCUAGAGCUCAGUAGUUUCAGCCUAUAAUUUUCCCCACAGUUUAGAUGGAAUUCAGAUUUUAAGAUAGGGCGAGGAAUGUACCUGGAAAUAGACCAUCCAUGGCAACUUCCUGGUAAAUUUCCAUGGUAGAGUGACUUCUCCAGAAACUCAGUCUUUUCAAAGCAACCUGUGCUUUUUGGCUCCUAGGAAACAGAGUAGUCUCCAAAUUCUUCAAAGACAAAAUAUGACAAUUUAUUAAUUGCCAAGGAUAAAUUUAAAUGUCAAGUGGAUUUGGAUAUAAUUGACAACUGUAAGCUCCUUUACUAAUUGUAGGAAAACACAUAGGAAGAAAAAUUGUAAUAGACAUUUUCUUUGUGAGUGCAAAAUUUUAAAAAUGACAAUUUAGCUCAAAGAAAUUAGUUUGAUGAUUUCAAUUGCUUAUCAUAAAUAAAUAUGUAUAUUCACCCCCAAACUAAAUGUACCAGUAGAUCAAACUGAGCAAUGUUUUCAAGUGCCUUUUUAUUUGAUGAUGAAUUAUGGAUAUUGCUAUUACUUUCUUCACUUAGGCAUGUUGUAUUAGGUUCUCAUAAUCACCAUAUUCCUUUACUGAUAUGACAUUUUUCUUGUAUAUUAUAAAUGAGGUUUAGCUACCAUUAGGACUUUUACAUUAGUUUUAACUAGAGAAGCUAUUUAUGAGAGUUGGUGCUGGAUUGCGGAAACCAGAAAUCUUAUACUUGCAUCUGAAAGCUUCCAGAUUUGAUGUCUGAAGUUUUUUGUAUGUGUUCUCUUUAUCAUUAAAAGAAUAUAUAUCUUUAAAUAUGACUGUUC
rnacentral:lncRNA from 10 species